UACGUAGGGUGCGAGCGUUGUCCGGAAUUACUGGGCGUAAAGAGCUCGUAGGUGGUUUGUCGCGUUGUCCGUGAAAACUCACAACCCAAUUGUGGGCGUGCGGGCGAUACGGGCAGACUGGAGUACUGCAGGGGAGACUGGAAUUCCUGGUGUAGCGGUGGAAUGCGCAGAUAUCAGGAGGAACACCGGUGGCGAAGGCGGGUCUCUGGGCAGUAACUGACGCUGAGGAGCGAAAGCGUGGGGAGCGAACAGG
rnacentral:rRNA from 1 species